UUUCCAAAUCUUUUUGUACUGUUUUGUUAGGUUAGACAGCAUGGUUUUUGGUUUUUUUUUUUUUUUUUUUUUUUUUAAAUCGAUUGGGGGAUUUUUUGGCCGUCUAUUUAUUUGUUUGCCCUUUGGUUUGUUUUUCAUUCUUGGUUCCCCUCUUUCAUUAGAGAGUACAAAAAUUCCAAAGGUAAACAUCCAAUCCCUUGCUUCGCUUUUCUGUCCAUAGCCAAGAAUUGGUGAAAUAAGUGUGGUUCUUGGAUCUGCGGUCUGAAACAAGAAAAUAUGUCUAUUCUCUGUGCCAGCUAAUGUAUCUGUGAUUUCUUUGCAGGACACUACUGCAACACAAGUCCGUUUGGAAGAUGGAGAGCACACGACUUAAGGAUCUCGGACCCAAGUUUUUAGAUCCGAAGCGGUCAGGAUAAGAACGAUUUGGAGCAAGUGACUCAAAAAGUUAAACUUCGAUAUCGAAAUUAAUGGAAACCCAUUGAUCCCGUUGUAAUGGGUCUCUUUGAAAAAACAAUUCUUAAGACCAAUUGUGAGGUUUGUUCUUAUAUAGUACAUGAGUGUUUUUAUAAUUCUUUUGCACGGUUGUUAGUAUUUGUUGUUAUGAUUGGUGUUGUCCUACAUGUUUGGCCUGAAGAAAAUGAGACAGUACUUUUGACAUAUUGAGAGUGAAGGAAUCUCCUUUGGACCUGGUCAUGUUGGAGUAUAUUUCUACUAACUUGGUACACUAUGGAAAUUCAUGGACUCUUUUACUUGCC